rnacentral:lncRNA from 1 species
CUUAAUGAAGUUGUGCAAACUAUCACACAACCCUUUAGCAAGGUAUCAAUUUCUAUUAGCGAGUAUGUGGAAGCACAAAAAGAUACUGCACCUCGACAUAUACAACACCUGUUGUGAGCACCAACAAUGGCUAUCGUUAAACAACAUUACAGAUAGACACAAUAGCACAACUUGUAGAAACAAAAUUGGUGCACAACAUUAACGGUUAGCAGUACAACGGGUAGGAGAAACAAAGAAUGUGUUAAUAGGAGCUUGCGUUUACAAAUAUAUAAAGAUAAGAUAGUUGGUUACUUGUAAGCACGUUGAGCAACUCUUUUUGUGGUACCGAAUGUAACAGAAGCGUCAGUAGUUCUACAAAGGCAUAAAUAAGUUGCAGUCAAGUUCAACACAUUGUGCAUUGAAAUACUCGCAAAAAUAUUCUCUAUAGAAAGUGUAAUAUGACUGUCUUAAAAUGAAUGAUAAAGACAAGAAAGAAGAUCAUUGUUGAAAGCUCUAUUACCAGACCAAAUAUGUGAAUCUGUUGUAGAAGAAAGUAAUGAAGAAACUAAACUUGUGAUUUAUUCUACUAUUUCAUGUGCAUCAAAUGAAUGUUGCUUGCUGUUAUUUUGGUCCAAAUAUCUUCCCCUUCAACGUAAGAAGACAAUGUCCACCGAUUAACUACGUCACUGAAGUUAUUUCCAUACAAUAUCCCACUGUCAAUAUAUUUUUUUUAUUUUAAAUAAUUAAUUAGACGGUGAUAAUGAUUGAUAGACCUAUUCCUACUUUUAUUAAUAUUUCUAAAUGAUAAGAAGAAAUGCCACUAAGUUAGCCAAAAUGGACUAGUACACAGCCAAAGUCUAAUUAGGUAACAACAAUCAAUCAUAGUGAAAAGAUAAAUAUCACAAGUCGUGCUCAUUGAUCUAGAGCACAGAAUGGUGAAUCAUUGUUGAAACCUACAGAGGCUAAACUAUUAGCUCAAGUUGAGCUCUUACAACACCAACCAAGUUACUCUUGAGACGUUAUAUUAAUGAGCAAAAAGCUCUGUUCUUUUGUUAUACUUCAAUUAUUUCUUCAUUGAUUGAAAUAUUAAAAUUGUACAGUGCUUAUACUGAUAAACAGUUUAAGAUGCAAGUUGCUCUCUCUGUUACAGCAAAAAGGUUUUUGAAAAUGAUUCAACCUUGUUGGCUUCAGUACAUUAUUUUAGCAUUCUGAAGACUUACUGUAGAGGGACACUUCUCCUCCUCCUAAGGGGCUGAGUAUUGCGAAAGAAUAAGAAUAUCUAAUUCAAGACCUUACGACAGUGCGUGAAGUAGCCGAGGAUCAUUUGCACCCCUUCGAGACCCUUACACAAUCGAUGGUGGACAAAUGUAGUAUUCUCUGACGCCCUUAAAUUUGAAUUUCUUUUGCUGCCUUUUGUUUUUUUGUUUUGAGUAUAGAGAGAGAGUAUGAUGCUCAACGGGAGUGGGCAUUGAGUAAACAAAGACAUUUUAGGCUCUUCAUAAGAGGCUAAUUAUUUGAAAACCCUUGUACAGGUAAAUAAAUUGUUAGCGUUGUGAACUGUAGCGGUAUAAUGAAAAUUUUUAAUUAUUUGAUUAAUAUAUCCUGCUACUAAAAAUCUGACUGCAGGAUGCAGUAUGAGUAAGACUCUAAUGGCAACAACAUUUUCCAGAUGAAGCUCACAGAUCAAAACAAAGAUGGAGCAGUUGAACCCCUUGUCAAAUUGCUUCAGAAAUAAAUAGAAAGCUUCGGUUACAUAUAUUAUCCCAAGUUGCCCUCGGGUGUUGGUUUACUGCUAUGGACCCAACGACAUAGAUAUAGAUAAGGUAGACGUUACAAGUUCGAACUCUGCUAGUAGCAAGGAGCCUGGUAUUUUUAUGACAGAAGACCGUGUUGUCAUGGGUUUUAAACCAAUGGGUCAACUAAGUCUCAAAGAAUUCCUCGACCAAAAAAAAAAAUUAAGCCUAAAGACUGCAAAAUCCUCCACCCCAUGAUUCAGGAAUCUUUAUUCUCCCCAUUAAGAUAGGCAACUUUUCUCUUCGACAGCUUCUUUACCUAAUAAAAUUUAACCUACUGCAACCUGUGCUAAGCAGAGGUUGUAGAAUUUCUUCACUGUUUUCUAAAAGAACUUUGCUGAUCUUCUUAGAUCACAAAAAUCGCUGAAAAUCCAGAAGUUUCACCUUUGCUAGCACAAACUCCCUCUCAGUACCACAACUCCAAGAAGCAAAACUCAAGAGAGAUAUAAAGUAAUCAAUUAUGAAAUUAUAUGGGGACAAAACCAGUAAAAAGUAUCGCAAGACUGAAGAUGACAUAUAUGUACUGAUAAACAAAGCAAAGUAACUGUUGAACCAUAUUUAUUGCUACACUAAUGGUUUUUCUCGUGGCAAAGAAAUUGAAUGAACUAUAGAAGCACAUAAGAAUUUCUUUUACAUACUAACACUGCUAUAACUAAAGAUACAAAUUCAGUUGUUUAAUUCUUUGUAAUAAUAUAAAGACAUAUACUUCAUAUUUAACGUGCAUCAAGACUGCAAUUAACAAAUAACAAAUAGGUAGACGAAUAAGUACAUAGUACUAUUAAUAACUCAACCUUAAAAAUUCAAAUUCUGUAACAAAGGAUCAAUGCUGACCAUCAUUACUGAAAUUGAAACAACAGGAUUAGGCUAAAUAACUUGUCGAUAAACCUAUAAGAUUGUUGGAGCCAACUCUGACAUGGCUAGAUCUAUUCCUGCUUUUAUUGAUAUAUCUAAUUCCUAAGAAAUGCAACAAAAUAAGUUAAGAUAGAUUAGUAUUCAGUGAAGGCCUGAUUGGGUAACAAUAGUAAGUCUUAAUGAAAAGAUAAGUUUAGACAGUUCAUACAUUACUAAAAAUUUUCCCUGACUGUUUUAUUUAUUGGUUCCUUUUGGAAGCAUAUGGAGUCUGUUCGAAAGAUUAUUUCAAUUCCUUGCUAAGAAUCAAAUAAGCUCUAUCUACUACGUACCGAAGCUAAAAAAAAAAAAGAAAACUUGAUAUAGCAUUGCGAGUGUUCAGUGGGUGACAACUCGAAUUUACAAAGAAAUUCCCAUGAGACUGUAAAAUAGUUUAUAAUUUGAUCAACGGGAGACUGUUUUGUCAGACCAAAGAGUCAAAAAACAAGUAGAGGAAGGGAAGACUAAAAGUCUUUCCCAUUAACAAGUUUCACAACCAAGUGGCUUCAACACACAACAACUUGAGUAACUCUGAUUUUCUUAUUGUUAUUAAAUCCACUGAGGGAAAAACAGAGCAACUUGCUUGUAUAGUCCUUUAUAUAUUUCUAUCAAAAAAAGAUAAUAAGUACUUCUAAUAAAGAUACAUUUUUAAUUAAAUCAGGCACACAAAUAUGAAGAAGGAGAUGAAAUAUGAAGCACAAAAUAAUAGCCUAUAGCGAACGAGCAGAGAGGCACAAGAGGAGUAGCAGAAAAGCGGAACCAAAAAAAUCAGGAGGAUACCCGAGCAAAACAAAGUAUGUUCCCUAAAAUCUUAUUAACUACUACUCCAUAAACACUUUAUUUCUACUUUAAUGUAUUAGUUUAGGUCUGCCAUGCGGGUUCUUCUAAUUUAUAUAAAUAGAGUUAUAAUCUUUGUUUCUUCGUAAUCCGUUGACUUUGCUCAUCAAACGGUCGCCUUCAGUUAACACGGUAGUUUUUAUCCCUUUAACUUUUGCAACUGCUAAUUAGUAAACAUCAGACAACUGAAAUAUUCAACAAGUUGUCUAAUCUAAUCUUAAAAUUAAAGAUCAAACAAAGUAAUAACCUGUGAGCAAACAAGCACAGAGACGAAAAGGUGAACAAUGGAGAAGCGGAGCGAGAAAUAUCGAUAGAAAACCCAAGCAGAAUAAGUAUAAUCAAGAAUUUAUUCAACUAUCAUAGCUAAACAGUUCAAUAAACUGUUAAAUAUAACCUUAAAAGUGAAGAUCAAAUUUGCCAAAAAUAAGGGCAUCGAAGUAAUCUAACCUAAAGAGAUAAUGUUUAACCCCCCAAAUAUUGCUGAUCCCCAUGAAAACCUGAAGAGAUAAUGUUUAACCUCCAAAAUAUAUUGUUGAUCCCCAUGAAACGCAAGUGUUGGCAAGGUACGAAAACAACUCAAAGCAGCAAAAAUAAGAGGAGCUUGAUGUUACACGUCUGAGAAGAAAAAGAAUCGCGUACCCUAGAGAGAGAAAGAGAGCGUGAACGGAAUAGUCUAAUAUAAAAUAUGCUGAGAAGAAAAAUUGUAGGCGUACAACAGUCUAUCUAAAAUAUGUUGAAAAGACUAAAAUACCCUAGAAGACCAAGACCUCCUUAUUC